GAUGAACGCUGGCGGCGUGCCUAAUACAUGCAAGUCGAGCGAACGGACGAGAAGCUUGCUUCUCUGAUGUUAGCGGCGGACGGGUGGGUAACACGUGGAUAACCUACCUAUAAGACUGGGAUAACUUCGGGAAACCGGAGCUAAUACCGGAUAAUAUUUUGAACCGCAUGGUUCAAAAGUGAAAGACGGUCUUGCUGUCACUUAUAGAUGGAUCCGCGCUGCAUUAGCUAGUUGGUAAGGUAACGGCUUACCAAGGCAACGAUGCAUAGCCGACCUGAGAGGGUGAUCGGCCACACUGGAGCUGAGACACGGUCCAGACUCCUACGGGAGGCAGCAGUAGGGAAUCUUCCGCAAUGGGCGAAAGCCUGACGGAGCAACGCCGCGUGAGUGAUGAAGGUCUUCGGAUCGUAAAACUCUGUUAUUAGGGAAGAACAUAUGUGUAAGUAACUGUGCACAUCUUGACGGUACCUAAUCAGAAAGCCACGGCUAACUACGUG
rnacentral:rRNA from 1 species